rnacentral:misc_RNA from 1 species
GGAAAUGCAGCAAGAGAAGAAAAAAAACCCUAAGCAGCAGCAUUUACCGCUCAAUCCCAACUGGGCGCAGCUCCAACAAGUAUCGCUUUCUCUUCCUUUCAAUAUCUGUAAAUUGCCUGUGUAUUUAUGCAUAUUAUUUGUUCUCUGUGAAAUCUGUAUUUGUUUGCAACAUUUUUCUUGGUUUAUGCAGAAGCUUAAAAGCCAUGGCUUUAGGCCUUCAAGGCCCUCAAAUAAUUCAAACUCAGAAACCCAAAAAUCUAUAUUAGGGAAGCGUAAAGAGAGACCCGAUAAAGCAUCUGACGAGUCUCAGCUGAAUCCUUUAGCUCCAACUAAUGAUGAUUUCAGGUGCUUCUUGUCCUGGCGUGUCAACAUUUCUUGCAAAAUAUGAAUAUAUCUUUAUAAGACUUUAAUCAGAAGAAUGACAACAACAACAGCUAAGCCUUAAUCAGAAGAAUGAAUUGUGAUAAAUUGAAACAAUUUUUUGGAAUUACAGUUUUUUUCCCUAUUUUUAUAAGGUCACCAUAACAUGGCAUGUUGUCAUUCAAUAUGUUCUUAAGUUGAAUAAUCUGGGUUUCAGUGGAAAUGAAACUGAUACCUCUUAACCUUGUAACUUCUAUUGGUAAAAGUAAGGAGAAAGAAAUUGCUGGAUUUUUUAGUGUGUUUUUACUUAUGUUAGUGUUAUUCCAAUUACACCAUGUUUGCCAUUCAUUUUCUUGUUUCAAGUGUCCCUCUUAGCUAAUCAAUUAUCACAGUCUGACAGAUGUGAUAGCCAUUGAUUGUGAAAUGGUUGGCACUGGUCAAGGAAACAGAAGUGCUCUUGGACGCGUAACACUGGUGAAUCAGUGGGGAAAUGUUAUACAUGAUGAGUUUGUUCGCCCAAUAGAACGUGUUGUUGACUUCCGUACAAAAAUUAGUGGCAUUCGACCCCAACACUUGAGGAAAGGUUGAUAUCAUCUUUCUUUUCUUAUAUGCUUCAAAAUGAUUAGCACUUUUGAGCACAACCAAAUAAACUAUUCUUUGUUUUGCUUCAUACAGUCAGCAUGUUGUUUAACAUGAGAAUUGGACUAAAUAUGGAAGUUGUAAAGGUCUUCUAAUUUUAUAAAUCUAAUUAUGCAAGAUUCCAUGGUGGUAUAAAAUAGAAGCUUAUGUGUAACAUCAGAGUAAACUUGUUUCUUAAAAUACUAGGUGGUGAUAAGAAUUAAUAUUGUGAUUGUCAUUUGUAAGAAGAGUGUGUCUGUACAUACACUGGAAGUUACAGAACGCCUUUUGAAUGUGUUGAUGUUAUUUGCAGCAAAGGAUUUCCCAACUGUUCAGAAGAAAGUUGCAGAGAUGAUUAAAGGAAGGGUUCUUGUGGGUCAUGCCUUGUCCAAUGAUCUUAAGGUUUAGCAUAUCUAAUUUUCUGAAUUGACUACAUGAGCAUGAUUCCCAAAAAAAAUGGUUUACUUGAAUUGUGAAUCAGUGAAUAUGAGAUGCAUGUUUUCUUUUGAACAGGCAUUGCUAUUGAGUCAUCCCAAAAAGGACAUGCGGGAUACUUCAGAGUAUCAACCCUUUCUCAAGGAGGGACGCAGAAAGGCCCUUCGGCAUCUUGCAGCUGAAUUUCUUGGUGCCAAAAUACAGAAUGGAGAGCACUGCCCAAUAGAAGAUGCUCGAGCAGCAAUGCUGCUGUACCAGAAAAACAAAAAACAAUGGGAGAAGAGUAUUAAAGAUCAAAUGAGACUGAAACAAAAACAGAAGAAACGCAAGCACAAAAAGAAACCAAAAGUGGCACCGGGAGUUAACGGCGCUGCUAGUGCUUCAUAGCAUUUGCUGCUGCUUGUUCUGCUAACACAUCAGAAGAUGUGCUUAAUACAAAUUCAGUCCACUUGGCAGUGAUCCAAUAGCUGAGCUUCCGAAUGGUUGGAUGAA